UUGAUCUAACACAACCUAACUUCCCAGGGGUACCUCUUGCCACCUAUGCCCUUGCACUCUAUGACACACCAGACACAUUGUAAUGACUGCAGUUUCUCAGCACACCUUUCUCUAUUACACACCCAUGCUGCUCCUGGCCUCUGGGACUUGGCACAAGCUUUUCCUUCUCUGGGAUUCCUCAUUUGUUCUAUGUACCAUACUCAAUCCUGCCUUCCCUCUUCCCCUAGAUAAUUCCUAAUUUUCCUUUAUUCCUUAGUUUAAAUGUCACUUCCAGUUGAAAAUAGGGAAAACAGGAAUCCCUGGGUGGGAAAAGACCAUACAUGAGGAAAGAGGCUGAUACAGUGGGCCUGAAGCUAGAUGAGAUUGGUGGUUCCAGGUCCAGUAAGAGGUUCUAACUGAAAGCCACAUUUAACAGUCUGAGAAAAGGAAGGCAGUGUGAUAAAGAAUGAAAUAAUUCUGUUACUAGGGUCGCAUGUCACAAUGCUAUGGGACUACCAUGAAGGCAGUCCAGACAAGAAGAAAAUGCUUCACCAAGAACUGGGAAGAGAGGAGCACCUGAGAUCUGGAAGCAGGAAAAAUGGCAAAAGUCCCCAAGUGAUGGUGGAAACGCUCGAAGAGGUCUUACAGAAAGAGGGUGGUUAGCCAGAGAGAUAAGCUUAUCAAAAUAGAUGAGUGCAAAUGCUGAUAUAGGAACAGAGAUCUGGAGACAGUGGCCAUAGAGGAAGCUAAAAAACCAUCAGGUAAUAUAACAUGUACGUGUUUCCUACAGUGGCAGUAGCAUAGGAGAAAGGUACAGGCAGCUUUAAAGCAACAAACAAAACAACAGUAGACAAUGACCAGGAAAUAUGGUGAGAAGAGUCAUCGGAAGAAAAGAAAGGCAAAACUGUAAGUAGCAGAACACAUUAUAUAAAUAUCAUUAAUAAUAAAAAUAAUAUUCACCAUGUAUGAAGCGUUUACUCAAUUACCAAGAAUCUAUUAAUAAUAUGCAUUAUUUCAUAUGGAAAAAAUGGCCUCGAGGAUGUCCAGAGAGAUACAAGAAAGGAGCAAGGCUGACAGUGUGCCAUUUUGUAGGUGGAAGACUAUAUAUCCACUGGAAAUAUUUAAAGUGACCUCUCCUAGGAUCCAACUGGAGGGGUCUAGAGGACAUUCAGGUUACAUUUGUUUAGAAUCCAAUUAUCCUACCAGAAUGAAACCUUCUUGAGGACAGAGACUGUGCUUUUUGUUCACCACUGUGUGAACAGAACCUGGCACUGGGCCUGACACAUGAGAGUACUAGAUAAAUAUGGGUUGGUAGACUUAACAAACAAGUAUGGAUGGGUGAAUGGAUGGAUGGAUUAAUGGAUAAAAACUCAGCUUAACAUAUUUGUAUCAUCGGGAAGCAAGAUAGAAAGCAUGUGUCCAUGUUUGAACCAAAAAUUUAAAGGGGAAUGGAAACAUCCCAAAUCCACACCUGCUGAUGACAGUGAGAAAUAAGGCCAAGCAAACAAAUGAUUCUCCUCAUUCAUUGAUUCAACAAACACUUCCUAAGCUCCUCAAGGGGCCAGGGCCCAAGGCAGGCAUGAAGUAGCACUGAGCACACAGACAAGCAGGACACAGGCUGGGAAAUAUCAAUUAAGUUAAGCGCAGAGCAUCAUAAGGACCUUACUUUUCAAAAUCCAUGCUGGUGAACUUGACCUCUUUGAUACUUUAGGAUUGAUAUUACAAUCUCAAGAGGUAUCACGGAAUAUUGAGGUUUGUUCUGCAUUUGGUUAUUCAAAGCUUUGAUUUUUUAAAUGUAUAGAGAUACUCUGUGCUGGAUAUUAAACACAUGUCUAUUUCUUUUUCCUCUCCAACAAGGGAAAUAGAAGAAAAAUUAUCUUGAAUGAGGGAUGUAAAUCAUGCUUGAGUGCUACAAGGCACUCAGGGUACCUGGCCAGAGGAAGUAGGCAGACAACUUUGUCCAGCCACAAUGGACAAAGAAGAGAUGGAGUGGUGUGGGGAAAUCAGGUUCUGGGCCUGUAAAGUGUGGAGACAUAGGCUCACUGUGCCUAUGAGUCUCACUGAGUUCUGAGACUUGUUUGAGACUUGGCAGGUGACAGUGGGAAAGUAUUCCUACAAGUAGGAUCAUACUGGUGGCAGUGCAGUAGUUAGAACAGAGGACCCAGUGUAGCACCUUCUCAGCUAGAGGCCGACCCAGGCCCUCCUCCAUAGUAAGAGCAGGAGAUUCUGCUUCAUGAAGUCCUUAGUCACUGCUCUGGAUCUUGAUCCUGAGCCAAGUUGUGACUCUGCCACCAGUUCUCUAUGACUUAGCUGCAAAGCAUGACAUCACUUAUGAUUCCUGAUUGUGGCAUAUUGAUGUAGUUUGAGCUGCUGAGGGGAAAAGGAAUGUGGACACUCCUGUUAUACCCAAUUAUGUAUCAUGAAAAGUCAUACAGCUUCUGUUGGAAGUCGAGCUUUUGAUAAACAGACGGCAGGUGCCUAAAUGACAUUCCUUGAUGACACUUGAAAAGGUCAUAACAAUCUCUCUGAACUCUGAAAUUCUAGGUUUUGUAUAAAGAGAUUUGACUAUUCUGUUUUUACUUGUAAUGAACAGUAUAUGACAGGUAAACUUUAGGGCAUACAAUAACUUCAUUUCAAUUCUGUAGCACAGUGGAAUAUUUGAAAAAUACUUUAUUGAGAUAAAAUUUAUAAAACAAAACUAACCAUUUUAAAGUGAACAAUCAGUGGCAUUUAGUAGGUUCACAUUUUUGUGCAAUCAUGACCUCUAUCAAGUUCCAAAACACUUCCAUUAUUCCCCCUUAUUCAUUAAGCAGUUUUUCCCCAUUCACCCCUGCUCCCUAACCCCUGGCAACCACCAA
rnacentral:lncRNA from 1 species